rnacentral:rRNA from 1 species
GACGAACGCUGGCGGCGUGCUUAACACAUGCAAGUCGAGCGGUAAGGCCCUUCGGGGUACACGAGCGGCGAACGGGUGAGUAACACGUGAGUAAUCUGCUCAUCACUUCGGGAUAACUCCGGGAAACCGGUGCUAAUACCGAAUAUGACCAUUUCAGGCAUCUGAUGGUGGUGGAAAGUUCCGGCGGUGUUGGAUGAGCUCGAGGGCUAUCAGCUUGUUGGUGGGGUCGUGGCCUACCAAGGCUUCGACGGGUAGCCGGCCUGGGAAGGUGACCGGCCACACUGGGACUGAGACACGGCCCAGACUCCUACGGGAGGCAGCAGUGGGGAAUAUUGGACAAUGGGCGAGAGCCUGAUCCAACAACGCCGCGUGAGGGAUGACGGCCUUCGGGUUGUAAACCACUUUCAGCAGGGACGAAGCGCAAGUGACGGUACCUGCAGAAGAAGCACCGGCCAACUACGUG